UAGGGAAUAUUGCACAAUGGGGGAAACCCUGAUGCAGCGACGCCGCGUGAGUGAUGAAGGCCUUCGGGUCGUAAAGCUCUGUUGAACGGGAAGAAACAAAUGACGGUACCGUUUAAGAAAGGAUCGGCUAACUUCGUGCCAGCAGCCGCGGUAAUACGAGGGAUCCUAGCGUUGUUCGGAAUCAUUGGGCGUAAAGAGUAUGUAGGCGGCCUAGUAAGUCAGUUGUGAAAGCCCCGGGCUCAACCCGGGAAGUGCAAUUGAUACUGCUUGGCUUGAAUGUGGAAGAGGGCAGUAGAAUUCCAGGUGUAGUGGUGAAAUACGUAGAUAUCUGGAGGAAUACCGGUGGCGAAGGCGGCUGCCUGGUCCUACAUUGACGCUGAGAUACGAAAGCGUGGGGAGCAAACAGGAUUAGAUACCCAAGUAGUCCCUGAGCGGGCUGGCAAGGCGCAU
rnacentral:rRNA from 1 species